GGAGGUUUCGGGCCGGCUGCUAACUGCUGGCUCGGCACUAGGACGCCAUUCGAGAUUAUCCUCACAAGCCGGGUUAUCUCCCUUCUUCGCUGCUGGGAGGCCCCACGCCUCACCCACUCAGGUUCUUCAGGCGCCGCCUCCCAGGGCAGUGGUUUGGUGCCGAGUCGGUGCGGCUGCAGCACGGCACACACGAGGACCUUGUGGAUGGCAGCAGCCACAUGUUGCUAUGGGAACGAGGAUGGCACUGGGACCCACAGCCACUCACCGGCCUGACAGAAGCCUGUAAAUAAAUUCUGCCUCACUCCGGGCUCUGCGCUGAGUGGUCCUGGAGGGCAGCUCAAGCAGCCACUUGCUGACACUCUGUCCUGCUGGUGCCGGCGUGCGCAGGACCCUCCUGCGGCAAGCUCGUGAGCUGACCGCUAUUCUGCCACGGCGAGCACGGAGCGCGCGGGGCAGUCUGCAAUCGCCCACCCUCCGCAACCCUCCACGACACGAUCUCAUUCGUGUCUAUGGGGUCCCCAGGGCCAGGGUCAUCUGACCCAUUUCACGGAUGAGGAAACCCCCUCCUCCGGACCUGGUCCCCGCAUCCACGCACGCCAGCUGUGCUGCUUGGGCUGGCAGCCCGCACUGCCAUCUCCGCCGCGGGCUGCCCUCCACGGUGCCACGAGUUCAGGCGCCCCUCACGUGGCUGACUUCCACCAGGCGCGAGGCUGAAAUCCCUCUAAGGAAGGGCCCUGCCGUGGUUUCUCUCCUAGGCACUGGCUGGCACGGGAAGUGUGCCCACAGAAGCCACUUGCUAAGUCUGACUGUGCCACAGCAGAGAUGGGCUCACUUCUGUGGCUUUACUAUUUAUUAUGCAUUUGUGGGAGACAGAGCAGCCUGGAUGUUUUGAGAGACCAAUUACCCGGAUUCAGGGACACCUUGGGUGGCUCAGUCAGUUAAGCGUCCGACUCUUAAUCUCGGCUCAGGUCACGAUCUCACAGUUUGUGAGUUUGGGCCCCGUGUCAGGCUCUGAGCUGAGCUGACAGUGUGAGGCCUGCUUGGGAUUCUCUCUGUCUCCCUGCCCCUCCCUCUCUGUGCAUUCACGCGCUCCCUCUCUCUCUCAAAAACAGACUAAAAAAAAAAAAAAAAAGAUCAAUUACCUGGAUUCAAAUCCUCACUCUGUCACUCACCAGCAGCAUGACACAGCAAGUCACUUAACAUCACUCGGCUUUAGUUUCCUCAUCAAAUUUUCCUUUUUGCUUGAAACAUUUUGGCUGUGAAAACCACGCACCAAAGAGUACAUGCAAAUGCAAAUGCAUAGCUUGUUGAAUAACUAUGUAAUGAAAGCCACGCAAACUUUCAAGAACCCAGGAACAUUGCUGGUGUACCUUGGUCCUUCCACAUGGCCGGCCCUUCCUGAUCCAAGCCUCCCCACCCUGAGGAAGCCACAAUUCUGGUUUUAAUAAUAAUAAUUCCUUUGCUUUUUUUUUUUUUUUUAAGUUUUACCACCUGUGUCCACAUCUUCAAAUGUGAUAGGUUACUUUUACCUGUUCUUGAAGUUUUAAGAACAUAAUCCUAAUUUACGUAUUCUUUUGUAUCUGACUUCUUUCCCUUGGCAUGCUGUGAUGUUCAUCAUGUAGAUCACAGCCCCCUGGAUGACGUACUAGGCUUGGCUUAUCCAUCUCCCUGGACAGAUGACUGGGUGGUGUCCCACUUCGGUCUGGUAUGGACGAACGGUGCUGCUGUGAACAUUUUCAUUCUUGCAGAAGAGCUUCUUUAGAAAACACACACGAGUGUGAGAUGCUUAGUCUUAGGGCAGGCAUGCAGAUGUUCAACUUUAGUAGAUCUUACCAAACCAUCCUCUUCGGCAACUACAGCAGGUCAUACUCUCACAGCGCUGGAUGUGAGUUGCCCACUGCUCAUCUUUGCCAACACUUGGUACUGAGCUAAUUCACUUUAAAAAAAAUACUUUAUUAUUAUUUUUUAAUAUGUAUUUAUUUUUGAGAGAGAGAGCACGAACAGGGAAGGGCCAGAGACAGAGGGAGACACAGAAUCUGAAGCAAGGCUCCAGGCUCUGAGCUGUCAGCACAGAACCCAACGUGGGGCUCGAACCCACGAACCAUGAGAUCAUGACCUGAGCCGAAGUUGGAUGCUUAACUGACAGCCACCCAGGUUCCCCUGAGCUACCUCAUUUUUAAAAAGUGAAUGAGAGUAGAAUCUACUUCCAUAUGACGGUUAGAUAGUGUAAUAAACCUAAAGGGUUUGGAAUAGAGCCUGCCACACAGUAAGUGCUCAGUACACAUGAGCUCUUGUUUUAUAAUUUAUAAUAAGAAUCAUCAUUAUAAAGGGUCUUGAACUAAGACAUGCUGAGGUAUGUGGCUUAUUUACCUUUCCACUUACAAAAGUGACUGGUUUAAGAAACUCUUCAUUGUGACUACAGAAAGUCUGCCUUAGACCACCACAGUCUCUUGAUGGUGAGAACCUGUAUUACUGAACCCUUUACGUGGCUGACUGAUGCACAAGGGAGACUGAACAAUUCCUUCACUCGCUCAGCCAACAGGUACUCUAUGCUGAUGCGCACCAGGCCCAUGCGAGGUGCCUGGGACACAAAGAUAAAUAUGACACAGCCUCUUUCCUCAGCUGCACACACACAGUAGGUGAAGUGGGACCCUGAGAGCAGCCUAUGGACCAUCAGCCCUAUCCUCAGCUUCUGUUGACUUGGCAAAGGUUUGCAUGUGGCUUCUUGGGAGCGGGACCCCAGUCUUUCUAUAUUGCAGACAGUUAGUUUUUUCUAUAGUCUUUUUGAGCCCCCAGGGGCCAUCUGUGCCCCUGAGCUCUCUGGCUACUGAAAAAUCGCUCCAGAACGUGCUCUCAAACCCGGGUUCCCAUCCAAGCCAUAAGAACAAACAGGUACCACUUCUACUUCCUUUAAUACACGGACAGAUUUGCAGACAGCUCUUGUCUGGACCUCGUCUGGCCUCUGAGGAUGGAGGUGUGUCCCUCUGUGGCCCUGCUACGGUAAUUAAUGAAAUGGAAACGAAGGGGUCCACGCGAGGUGCUGCUUCAAAAGCAGCAGGGCUCCUCCACGGUCUCCAGAGCUGAAACUGGACAUCUGCCGUGACGUUUGUGGUGUUGUUGACAAGGCCCGGGUUGCAACCGUUUCCAGACAAGAGAGCCUCAGAAAGCUGAGCAGUACCUGCCUCCUGAACACGUAGAGUUGAUUAGCAGUUGAGGAAGAUGGGCAACCGCGCGGGAACGACCUCACGACUGCCAGACUGGCGGCUGAGGCCACCAUAACGUGACUGAGGAAAACAGCCCAGGAGGACCUUUCGGGCCACUGGCCCUGGGGAGAAUCAGACAAAUGGAAACAACUGAAGGAGAGCAGGAUGAGAGGGUGGGCGUGCUAAAAGAUGCGUGUCUGCCAUCUAGUGCCAAGCGUGACAAGAAGACAAAGGAAACCCCGCGAGUGGGCAGAGAAGACAUGCAAGAAAGGCAACCGAGGGUAAAGGGGAGAAACGCGAGCCGUGUGGGAAACACGCCAAGCACAGGGAGGCUGCGGAGCGGGGGAUGACAGAGCACACGCUGGCGGGGAGCGAGAGGAAGCGUAAGAAGCGAAGAUAAGUGACAAGGAUGAUGCCAAGUACACGAGGAGCGGGAGGUCACACGAGGCAGCGGUGGAGUCUGUAAGAUGUUUCCCAGUUGGCAACACCACAUUGAGGCUUUUUUCCCUGAACAAUAACUGACUCAGUCAGGCAGCAUGGCAAGUUGCUGCUCAGGCAGAUGCAACAGAUCACCGGUUAAUUAGUCAACCUGUACAGAUGGGCUGUUCCUCUCUUGACUGGACACAGGGUUUUCUUUUGCUACUUAAUGUUGCAAUCCCUUGGGCAAGGGGACUCCGAGGCCGGGGCAGACCCACAUAGGCGCCUGGGGCCCAAUCCCGUGACUCAGGUGAGAGUCACACCAGACCCUGACCUUCCCUGCAAACACGCUGGGCCUCCAGGGGGAGUGGAGUGUGGUGGGAGGCAUGGGUCAGGCUAGGAGGGGGAGGCUGGACAGGUCUAGGUACCAGGGGUCAGUGGGUGGCUGAGAACCUGUCCUGGGAAGGUGAGAGGGGGCAGAGGUGGGCCUGUGUGUAAACUGAGGCUCCCGGCCCCUGGUGAGUGCCCCACGUCCCCAUGGGGCUCCCAUUAUGAAAACAAAUUCACAGGUAAAAUUGUGAAGAAUUCAAGAUGGUGCUGGAGAACAUAAACCCCAAGCACAGAGUCCCCUUCUGGGUGUGGAGCCUCACACAACUGCCCUGGUCACAUGCCCACGAAGCCAGUCUUGUGUAGAGCUGAGACAUACCAUGUUGAGGUGAAAACUACAGAAUGGUUACUAUUUUGACGCCUUUCAUUUCCUCUUGAGUUCCAGCUUUCCUGUUCCUUAUGAUUCCUGUCUUUUUUUAAGUUUAUUUAUUUUGAGAAAGAGAGAAAGAGAGAGAGAGAGAGAGACAGAGAGAGCAUGCACACACACAAACGAGAGUGGGGGGAGGAGCAGAGAAUACCAAGCAGGCUCCAUGCUGAAGCAUGGAGCCCGACAUGGGGCUCCAACCCACUGGACUAUGAGAUCAUGACCUGAGCCAAAACCAAGAGUUGGACGCUCAACCAACCGAGCCAUUCAGGCACCCCGUGAUUCCUGCCUUUAACUAGCAGUCCUUCAGAGGUUCACACUCA